CGCGACUGUGGCUUGGUUAGGGGAAUCCACCAGAGCCGUAGCGAAAGCGAGUCUUCAUAGGACAAUUGUCACUGCUUAUGGAUCCAAACCUGGAUGAUCUAUCCAUGACCAGGAUAAAAUUUGGGUGAAAUUAAGUGGAGGUUCGAACUGACUGAUGUUGAAAAAUCAGCGGAUGAAUUGUGGUUAAGGGGUAACACAAUUUUAUAAUAAA
rnacentral:ncRNA from 1 species